GUGAUUAGAGUUUGAUCCUGGCUCAGGAUGAACGCUGGCGGCGUGCUUAACACAUGCAAGUCGAACGGUGAAGCCCAGCUUGCUGGGUGGAUCAGUGGCGAACGGGUGAGUAACACGUGAGCAACCUGCCCCUGACUCUGGGAUAAGCGCUGGAAACGGCGUCUAAUACUGGAUAUGUGACGUGACCGCAUGGUCUGCGUCUGGAAAGAAUUUCGGUUGGGGAUGGGCUCGCGGCCUAUCAGCUUGUUGGUGAGGUAAUGGCUCACCAAGGCGUCGACGGGUAGCCGGCCUGAGAGGGUGACCGGCCACACUGGGACUGAGACACGGCCCAGACUCCUACGGGAGGCAGCAGUGGGGAAUAUUGCACAAUGGGCGCAAGCCUGAUGCAGCAACGCCGCGUGAGGGAUGACGGCCUUCGGGUUGUAAACCUCUUUUAGCAGGGAAGAAGCGAAAGUGACGGUACCUGCAGAAAAAGCGCCGGCUAACUACGUGCCAGCAGCCGCGGUAAUACGUAGGGCGGCAAGCGUUAUCCGGAAAUUAUUGGGCGUAAAGAGCUCGUAGGCGGUUUGUCGCGUCUGCUGUGAAAUCCCGAGGCUCAACCUCGGGCCUGCAGUGGGUACGGGCAGACUAGAGUGCGGUAGGGGAGAUUGGAAUUCCUGGUGUAGCGGUGGAAUGCGCAGAUAUCAGGAGGAACACCGAUGGCGAAGGCAGAUCUCUGGGCCGUAACUGACGCUGAGGAGCGAAAGGGUGGGGAGCAAACAGGCUUAGAUACCCUGGUAGUCCACCCCGUAAACGUUGGGAACUAGUUGUGGGGUCCAUUCCACGGAUUCCGUGACGCAGCUAACGCAUUAAGUUCCCCGCCUGGGGAGUACGGCCGCAAGGCUAAAACUCAAAGGAAUUGACGGGGACCCGCACAAGCGGCGGAGCAUGCGGAUUAAUUUCGAUGCAACGCGAAGAACCUUACCCAAGGCUUGACAUAUACGAGAACGGGCCAGAAAUGGUCAACUCUUUGGACACUCGUAAACAGGUGGUGCAUGGUUGUCGUCAGCUCGUGUCGUGAGAUGUUGGGUUAAGUCCCGCAACGAGCGCAACCCUCGUUCUAUGUUGCCAGCACGUAAUGGUGGGAACUCAUGGGAUACUGCCGGGGUCAACUCGGAGGAAGGUGGGGAUGACGUCAAAUCAUCAUGCCCCUUAUGUCUUGGGCUUCACGCAUGCUACAAUGGCCGGUACAAAGGGCUGCAAUACCGCGAGGUGGAGCGAAUCCCAAAAAGCCGGUCCCAGUUCGGAUUGAGGUCUGCAACUCGACCUCAUGAAGUCGGAGUCGCUAGUAAUCGCAGAUCAGCAACGCUGCGGUGAAUACGUUCCCGGGUCUUGUACACACCGCCCGUCAAGUCAUGAAAGUCGGUAACACCUGAAGCCGGUGGCCUAACCUUUUUGGAGGGAGCCGUCGAAGGUGGGAUUGGUAAUUAGGACUAAGUCGUAACAAGGUAACC
rnacentral:rRNA from 1 species